ACCGGCGCACGGGUGCGUAACGCGUAUGCAACCUACCCACUCCCGGGGGAUAGCCCGCCGAAAGGCGGAUUAAUACCCCAUGGACCCUUAGCCCCGCAUGGGGCGGAGGGUAAAGCUCCGGCGGGAGUGGAUGGGCAUGCGUGCCAUUAGCUAGCUGGCGGGGUAACGGCCCACCAGGGCUACGAUGGCUAGGGGGUCUGAGAGGAUGAUCCCCCACACUGGUACUGAGACACGGACCAGACUCCUACGGGAGGCAGCAGUGAGGAAUAUUGGUCAAUGGGCGGAAGCCUGAACCAGCCAUGCCGCGUGCAGGACGACGGCCCUACGGGUUGUAAACUGCUUUUCCGGGGGAAGAAUAAGGCCCAUGCGUGGGCCGAUGCCGGUACCCCGGGAAUAAGGAUCGGCUAACUCCGUGCCAGCAGCCGCGGUAAUACGGAGGAUCCUAGCGUUAUCCGGAUUUACUGGGUUUAAAGGGUGCGUAGGCGGGCCCCUCAGUCAGCGGUGAAAGUCUGCGGCUCAACCGUAGGAUUGCCGUUGAUACUGGGGGUCUUGAAUUCGGUCAAGGUGGGCGGAAUGCGUGGUGUAGCGGUGAAAUGCUUAGAUAU
rnacentral:rRNA from 1 species